AGCUGGUCUGAUGGCAGUGGGUUAUCAGAACUUACUAACAUUAGUGUCACUAAAGUUGGUAUACCACCCCCCCACUGCUAAAUUUGACUGGCUUUAA
ensembl:misc_RNA Y_RNA Y RNA